CUGAAGAGCCUAUGAAGGAUCUAGAGGGAGAGUUUGAUGAUUGAGGAACGAGGAGCCAAGCACACACGACCAACCAAUUCAAGUCAGGCUGCCUUGCAAAAAUUUCUAAUCGAACUGGAGAAGAUUGUGUUUACCUGCUGCAAGGGUAUGAUGUGCAUCUUUUUGGUUGAUUACCUUGCUCAUUUUCCGCAGGUUUAAGGCACCGACAGGUCUAACCAGCAGGGGUGCUCAACUCACACCUAAGGAAGAAGAUCAAGAAGCGGAACUGGUGUAGGAAUCGUAUGACAAUUUGGAUACAGGCCAGCGAGAGCAAGGACAAGUUUUGAUACAUAUCUUAUGCGGAUUUUGCGAGGAGAUGCCGCCUUUCCUUGCGAUGUUGGGGCCUUUUACAGUGCUGCGGGUUGCUGCUCUGCAAUGAUGUUAGCGAUGGCGACACAAGCAAGAACACAGUCCCCAAAUGGUUUGCUCUUUAUUUGUGGACCAAUAUUACAAUAUACGACACGAGAUAGGAGACUAGGUGCAUAAACUUUUAUCAAGAUACCAUCAGGACUGGCCGGGCAUUUUCUGAUUGAGUCAUGGAAUAUGUAACAACAAUGCCUUUGACAUUGGCAAUCUCUGUGUCAGCUGCAUCUGAUCUUUCUCAACUCCAGGCUAUGUUUCUCAAUAUAGGCCUAUUAUAUGUGUGGUCUCCUUGAUUUGGAUUAUGUAAAAAUUGGUUCCAGUUCCAGGUUUCCAGCGAUUGUCAGGGCAUCGACUGCGUAGUAUCUAACAGGGACGCUCCAACUGUGUCAGGUUGUCGCCAGCGGGAAAUGGAAAGGUGAAGACAAGAUCUCCACGACACCGCAUCCUGUUGCCAAGUUCAUCUUUGAUUGGUUUGCGACUUCACAUGCCAGCGAUAGUGAGAUGACCGUGUUACCAGAGAUCAAGAAUAAGCUCUGUACUAGACAUGUGAAUGGGAUAUCUUCUUGCAGGAACUAUGGGUUCACAAGACCAUAAGUUUACUAUUGUUGGUGAAAUAGUAUCCCUCAGUUACUCUCAUAGUUUCAUGCUUAGGGGUUCGAUCAUCCGCGGGGAUACUUAUAUAUACUUUGAAGUUUGAACCUUCUGCUACA